rnacentral:rRNA from 1 species
UACGGAGGGGGCUAGCGUUGUUCGGAAUUACUGGGCGUAAAGCACACGUAGGCGGAUCGGAUAGUCAGGGGUGAAAUCCCGGGGCUCAACCCCGGAACUGCCUUUGAAACUCCCGGUCUUGAGGUCGCGAGAGGUGAGUGGAAUUCCGAGUGUAGAGGUGAAAUUCGUAGAUAUUCGGAGGAACACCAGUGGCGAAGGCGGCUCACUGGCGCGAUACUGACGCUGAGGUGCGAAAGCGUGGGGAGCAAACAGG